AGUGGUCGCUCAGCCGCCUGUGUGGGCCACACGUUGCCGGUUCAGAUGGACUUCGGCGCUGCCCAGCUGGGCAAAGCGCCUCAUUUGCUUGUUCCGAGCACGGAACUGAAAUCGUUUGCUUUGGAGGCGUUUCGGCGCUGUGAAAAUGGGUGCAGCUCCAGCGCGUUGUAUGCAUUGUCAGCGGCGAAAAUUACUUGAAAUAAGCGGAGCUCGCAGUUUUGGGCGCCACCAAAGCGAUGACUCACUGUGAUCGUGAGCAUUUUAUAUUUAUUUU